UACGUAGGGCGCAAGCGUUGUCCGGAAUCAUUGGGCGUAAAGCGCGUGUAGGCGGCCCGGUAAGUCCGCUGUGAAAGUCGGGGGCUCAACCCUCGGAUGCCGGUGGAUACUGUCGGGCUCGAGUACGGAAGAGGCGAGUGGAAUUCCUGGUGUAGCGGUGAAAUGCGCAGAUAUCAGGAGGAACACCGAUUGCGAAGGCAGCUCGCUGGGACGUGACUGACGCUGGGACGCGAAAGCGUGGGGAGCAAACAGG
rnacentral:rRNA from 1 species